rnacentral:misc_RNA from 1 species
AGCAGAACCUGCAUUGUGGCAUUACAGGAGAAACUAGAACUGGAACAGAGCCACUCCCCAUCCUUGAACAUACACAAAAGCAAAGACAAAAUACUAUUUUAAAUGUCAGUGCACAGAUAAUAUUCAAGACUGUCCUUGUGCCUGUUUUUCUCCGGUUGAGUCUCCAUUAGCAGCCAAGCCUCUGAUUUUUACAUCAUAAAAUACUUCUUCAACUUUCCUCAGGUCAUAUUUCAUUCCGUCAAAUUUUUUGCGCAAGAAAUCAUUUCUGAGAUUAAGCAUGCGAAAUGCUGCAUGAAGAUCUGUCAAGAACUUCAAAACCUUCCGUGGGCAAUCGUAAUCCCCAGCUGUCACUUGGUUCACCACAUAUCUAGGCAACUCAUUGGACAUAAAACAAAUACCAAUAAGAUAGUCAUCAACAUCAAGUCCAAAUUCUGUUGGUGUCAACCCAAGUUUCUCUUCAACUUCACUGUGCAGAACAAGAGUCCCUGUUUCUAACCAAUGCAUAAAAGCAAGCAAUGAGACCACGGUUUGGGUUUCACUCUUCCAAUCACCAUGAUACCGGUAAUACUGACCAGGGCAUUCUCGUAUAAUUUCUGAAAGCCGACUGUAAAGUUCCUUCAGCACUCCAAUCUGAGACUUAGCCCUCUCGAUAACCUCAGCAACAGGGCGAGACUGAUGAACGAGAAGAAGGCUAGCAUAAAUGAGCCUAGUAACUGAAUCUAUCUCCGUCGCCACAGCUCGUAUCCGCUCCCGGAGAUUCCCCGAUUCCUCCAAAUGAUGGCGGAAGUCUUCGAACUGUUUCUCCAGUUUGUCCGACGAAGGAUUGAGGAAAUCACCACCCGCCAUUAGAGUAGAGAGAAAUGUAGAGUGAGAACGAGGUUUGCAGAGAGAAGAAGUCGAAGAGACAAAGGUGGAUUUUUGGGUAGAAAUGAGAAGAAGAGGGAAGAAGGGUUUAGGGUUUAACAAGUAAUGAGUGAAAAG